rfam:Lactobacillus sp. WiKim39, complete genome.
UAAUAUGAGAGUUUGAUCCUGGCUCAGGACGAACGCUGGCGGCGUGCCUAAUACAUGCAAGUCGAGCGAACUCUGGUUUUUGAUUUUUGGUGCUUGCACCAAAAUGAUAAAACAUUUGAGUGAGCGGCGGAUGGGUGAGUAACACGUGGGUAACCUGCCCUAAAGUGGGGGAUAACAUUUGGAAACAAGUGCUAAUACCGCAUAACAACAUUUACCACAUGGUUUAUGUUUAAAAGAUGGUUUUGCUAUCACUUUAGGAUGGACCCGCGGCGUAUUAGUUAGUUGGUGAGGUAAUGGCUCACCAAGACCGUGAUACGUAGCCGACCUGAGAGGGUAAUCGGCCACAUUGGGACUGAGACACGGCCCAAACUCCUACGGGAGGCAGCAGUAGGGAAUCUUCCACAAUGGACGAAAGUCUGAUGGAGCAACGCCGCGUGAGUGAAGAAGGUUUUCGGAUCGUAAAACUCUGUUGUUGAAGAAGAACAUGCGUGAGAGUAACUGUUCACGUAUUGACGGUAUUCAACCAGAAAGCCACGGCUAACUACGUGCCAGCAGCCGCGGUAAUACGUAGGUGGCAAGCGUUGUCCGGAUUUAUUGGGCGUAAAGCGAGCGUAGGCGGUUUAUUAAGUCUGAUGUGAAAGCCCUCGGCUCAACCGAGGAAGUGCAUCGGAAACUGGUAAACUUGAGUGCAGAAGAGGAGAGUGGAACUCCAUGUGUAGCGGUGGAAUGCGUAGAUAUAUGGAAGAACACCAGUGGCGAAGGCGGCUCUCUGGUCUGUAACUGACGCUGAGGUUCGAAAGCGUGGGUAGCAAACAGGAUUAGAUACCCUGGUAGUCCACGCCGUAAACGAUGAGUGCUAAGUGUUGGAGGGUUUCCGCCCUUCAGUGCUGCAGCUAACGCAUUAAGCACUCCGCCUGGGGAGUACGACCGCAAGGUUGAAACUCAAAGGAAUUGACGGGGGCCCGCACAAGCGGUGGAGCAUGUGGUUUAAUUCGAAGCAACGCGAAGAACCUUACCAGGUCUUGACAUACCAUGAAAAGCUAAGAGAUUAGUCUUUCCCUUCGGGGACAUGGAUACAGGUGGUGCAUGGUUGUCGUCAGCUCGUGUCGUGAGAUGUUGGGUUAAGUCCCGCAACGAGCGCAACCCUUAUUACUAGUUGCCAGCAUUCAGUUGGGCACUCUAGUGAGACUGCCGGUGACAAACCGGAGGAAGGUGGGGACGACGUCAAAUCAUCAUGCCCCUUAUGACCUGGGCUACACACGUGCUACAAUGGUCGGUACAACGUGCUGCGAACUCGCGAGGGUAAGCAAAUCACUUAAAACCGAUCUCAGUUCGGAUUGUAGGCUGCAACUCGCCUACAUGAAGCUGGAAUCGCUAGUAAUCGCGGAUCAGCAUGCCGCGGUGAAUACGUUCCCGGGCCUUGUACACACCGCCCGUCACACCAUGAGAGUUUGUAACACCCAAAGCCGGUGGGGUAACCUUUUAUUAGGAGCUAACCGUCUAAGGUGGGACAAAUGAUUAGGGUGAAGUCGUAACAAGGUAGCCGUAGGAGAACCUGCGGCUGGAUCACCUCCUUU